AAGAUGCUUCCACUGGGAAGAUUUUAACAUGGAGCAGACUGUGGGAGUUGUGCCGUGAGAAGUUGGGUGAAGACUUAUUCCUUUGCUUGGGUAAAAUCUUCAUGGAGAGUAAACAUGGUUAUUCCAUACCUACUAUCAUCAACAGGAGCAGGAACAAGGAGCCUCCAUUUCCUUCUUUGUUCCAUCUAAACAAACCAGGCAAUUCAGAAAAUGAGUGGAACAACUCUGACUGAAGCUAACCUUUGUGGGACCCAACCACUCACUCCUCCCCACAGAACAGUGCCCACCUGUAAAGGAUCAACAUAACACUGCUUCCCCUGCCUUGAUGCUAAGUCUCAGUGCUUGGCCAUAAACAAUGAGAAAGAAAAAGUCAGAGGGUCUUUCAGUCUGUCUGAACACAGGCUCUUCAUCUGCCACGGGGAUGGUCACAGAGAGGUCCUUCAGGAACAUUACUGCAUGUAAAAUCCUCAGCCUGUCUUAAUCUGCACAAAAUUGCAAGUGUGGGCAGGCUGUGAGUGAUUGAGCCAGGCCAAAGAGGAAUUCGGCAGCAGUGCAACCUCUGUCCCUGCCCACCUCAGUGACAGCCCAGUGUUUAACCACUGUGUGAUCCUGCCAGCCCCAUGCUCACAGUUUACUGACAACCAUCUGUUGAAAGAGCUUUGCCAAGCUAAACCGACCCAACGCUAACUGCAAAGUUUGUGAGCAAGGAGUAAGUGGAAUAAUUGAAAAAACUGGGGAAAUGUCUAGACCACUUAGAUGGAUUUGUGUAUUUAAGAAAGAGCUGGCUUAUGUGUUCACCAACAACUCACCAACCACAGAAGAAAGUAUUUUAAAUCUUCAGCCUGAUGCAGUUCUUGAAGCAAGCACAGCAUCUCAUUAAAAACCCCAAUCC
rnacentral:lncRNA from 7 species